rnacentral:rRNA from 1 species
AGGAAGUAAAAGUCGUAACAAGGUUUCCGUAGGUGAACCUGCGGAAGGAUCAUUAUCGUACAAAAUGUGAGGACCGUGCCAAGGGCUGUCGCUGACUUCAGAGUCGUUGCACGCCUGGGUGUGUCUCCUCACAUAAUAAUCCAUCUCACCCUUUGUGCACCACCGCGUGGGCUCCCUUUGGGAUGAUCAUCUCGAAGGGGGCUCGCGUUUUCAACACAAAAUCCCCCCUUUUAAAAGUGUAGAAUGACCUCAUACAUGCGCUAACCCGCAAUCAUAACAACUUUCAACAACGGAUCUCUUGGCUCUCGCAUCGAUGAAGAACGCAGCGAAAUGCGAUACGUAAUGUGAAUUGCAGAAUUCAGUGAAUCAUCGAAUCUUUGAACGCACCUUGCGCCCUUUGGUAUUCCGAGGGGCACACCCGUUUGAGUGUCGUGAAAACCUCAACCUCCUUGGUUUCUUUCUGGAGACCAAGGCAGGCUUGGACUUUGGAGGCCAUUGCUGGCACCUCUCUUUUGAAGGCCAGCUCCUCUUAAAAAAAUUAGCAGGGUCCCCUUUGCCGAUCCUUGACAUGUGAUAAGAUGCUUCCAUGUCUUGGCUUUUCUGGCUCUGUCACCUUUUGAGACCCGCUUCUAACCGUCUUUGUUGAGACAACGUUCGAGCACGUCUCCCUUCUCGGGAAGCCCCCUCGACCCCACGACCCCUUGACCUCAAAUCGGGUGAGACUACCCGCUGAACUUAAGCAUAUCAU